UGUUUAAAAAAAAAAAAAAAGUCAAAUGAAAAGAUGUUGAUAAAAGAAUUGUAAAUUCAAGGAGGUUCAGAGUCAGUGGGGUUUUCCAAGGGAAAUAUUGACAUCAAUUGUUAAAUUGCUGAGGCAUCGGGGAGGUAGAAAGAUAUGGGAGCUGCUUCUAGAGAAAGUAAAGAAAUAAGUCUUUGACCACAUUGUGGGUCAAGACACAACCGAGGCACUGAUGAGAAAGUGCAGACCUGCCAAGGACUCAGGAUGUUCUGACAGGGAAAGGAGGGGAAUAGGGAAGAGGAAUCUUGGAUGAAAAUAGGCUUUUGGUUUGUACUUAAAGACGGUGAGUCUCUGGUUGCAGCCCAAAGGCAUCCGAGCUCCAGGGAUACAAAUGGAGGACCAUCCAGAGAGGGGUUAUUAAAAAGGGCUCCAAGGCAGGAGGAGGAUAGAAGAGACACCAGGUCAAGCAGAAUGAAGCCAGAUGAUCAAAUCAUGAAGAAGGACAACAUUCCUGACACUAGCAAGGGGAAGGCCCUUCUUCCUCUAGAGAAAAAGGCACUGCUCCAUCCAGCCUUGAAGGCCAUUCUGCCGCUCUCUAGUUUCACCAUAUGUGGCAUAUAACCCCAAUCUAGGGGUCAAAUCAGAGCUGCAGCUGCUGCCCUACACCACAGCAACAGAAAUGUGAUAUCUGAGCACCUCUGCAACUGACACCACAGCUCAAGGAAACACCAGAUCCUUACCCACCGAGUGGGGCCAGGGAUGGAAACUGCGUCCUCAGGGCUACAACUUGGGUUCAUUACCACUGAGCCAUAGCAAAAUGUCCAAAAAUUUUUUUCACAAAGAUUUUUACACAAAUGCUCACAGCAGCUUCAUUCACAAAUGUGGAAACUUGCAAACAAUUCCAUGUUUAAACCCUAAAGCACAUGGCCAAUCUCACUCUACAAGAGUAAACUGGAAUCAAAUGUCGUGAAUGUUUCUCUUUUGAAAAAAGCACAUGUUCUUGGGGGGUAGGAAAUUUCUCUAGGAGAUCAAUUGUUAACUGUGCUAUUCACAUCUUCUGUUUGUUCCAUUGGUUGAUUCUGAGAGAGGUGUAUUCCUCUUCCACUGUUAAUUGUGGGUCUGUCAUAUUCACUAUUUAUUCUCAGUUUUUGUUUUAUACAUUUCAAAAUUAUGAUACUAUGUUUGUAAAAUACAUGACUCAUAACCUGUGCCUUUAAUCAACAUGAAACACCUUUAUGUUUUUGUAAUGCUUUUGUCUUAAAUUCUAUUUUGUCUGAUAUGUUUGCUUUCUGUAAACAUUUGCCUAGGAAGCCACUUUCCAUUCCUUUUUUUUCUUUUUUUAAAAAAUUUUUGGCCACGCCUGCAGCAUGCAGGAAGUUCCCAGGCCAGGGAUCAAACCAGUGACAAC